CUUGUAUUCAGUGUGUUUCAGGUCCGACAUGUUUCUAAAUGGUAUGUAUUACACUACACAAGUACAUGUAGGUGUCAAAAUGGUAGGUAUUGGUAGGUAUUUUAGUAUUGUGCAUGUGUUACAUUUUUGCAUUUGUUCCAAGUUAUUGUUCCACUGUCUACAAGAAUGGGUUAUUAUUACACAUUACCGAUGUCUGUGAUGGAGAAUUCAAUUACUGCUUUGAAUGAACAAAAUCAAGGCUUUGUUGGGGUGUCUUGUGACAUGAUCAGAGUAAUACAACUUUUUUCUUUUGCAGGUACUUGUCGGUCAUCGGAUUUGUCAUCAAUAUCGACACGUUGAUGCUGAUGAUUCCUGAACUGCUCCAGGUUUAGCGGUAUGUGCUCACCUACAGGUUCAGCCAGGAUCACUUGGAGCUCCUAUUUAACUCAAUCAGAGCGUCAGGCGGAUGUAAUAAUAAGCCCACGGCACGCCAGUUCCAGGCCUUCUUCCGUCGUCUGAUGGUUCUGUGUUGUGUCUCACCUCGUGAGACAGGCAAUGUGGCAGCCCAAGAUAAACUGUGUCCCUGUCUGCUGUGGAGAUGUCCUCUGCUGAAACUGCUGAAGAGCACCAAUCUCCAGAUGACAAUAUACAGAGACACCAUAGACAACUUUGUGGAGUGGAGUACACACAAUAAUCUCCACCUCAACACCUUCAAAGACAAAGGAGAUAGUUGUAGAUUACAGGAGGGGGAGGAGGAGGACUCAAUCAGCAUCGGGGGCACUGUGGUGGAGAUGGUCGCCAACCACAGGUACCUUGGUGUGCAGCUCGACAGUGAGCUUGACUGGAAAAGUAAUAAG
ensembl:lncRNA